CCUACGGGAGGCUGCAGUAGGGAAUAUUGCUCAAUGGGGGAAACCCUGAAGCAGCAACGCCGCGUGGAGGAUGAAGGUUUUCGGAUUGUAAACUCCUUUUGUUAGAGAAGAUAAUGACGGUAUCUAACGAAUAAGCACCGGCUAACUCCGUGCCAGCAGCCGCGGUAAUACGGAGGGUGCAAGCGUUACUCGGAAUCACUGGGCGGAAAGAGCGCGUAGGCGGGAUAGCAAGUCAGAUGUGAAAUCCUAUGGCUUAACCAUAGAACUGCAUUUGAAACUGUUAUUCUAGAGUAUGGGAGAGGUAGGUGGAAUUCUUGGUGUAGAGGUAAAAUCCGUAGAGAUCAAGAGGAAUACUCAUUGCGAAGGCGACCUGCUAGAACAUAACUGACGCUGAUGCGCGAAAGCGUGGGGAGCAAACAGGAUUAGAUACCCCAGUAGUC
rnacentral:rRNA from 1 species